rnacentral:rRNA from 1 species
GGAUCAUUAAAGAGUUUAAUAAAACUCCUAAACCCCUGUGAACUUACUGGUGUUUGGCUCGCCAGAUAUAGUCUGGUCCGUAAGCAAAUCGACUGCCUGCCUGUGUAACAGGCAGGUAAGCUUUUGUCGCGGGGUCCCGGAUCAACCCGGGCUAGAUAGCCACUUAACUAUAUACUUUUUUAUAAAAUCUGUGAACUUACUAGGUUGGAUUCUCGCCAGAGAUAGUCUGGUUUCUGCCACGCAGAUCGACUGCCUGCCUGUGACACCUGUCACAGGUAGGUAAGCUUUUGCCGCGGGUCCGCAUGUAAAUCGUCUGUUUCACAAGGGACGGCGAUUUACCUGUGGAAGAGGUCCGCUAACUAUAUUCUUAGUAUAGUUUGUUCACUAGAUCAAACAUUCUGAAUAAAAACUUAAACUAGUUAAAACUUUCAACAACGGAUCUCUUGGUUCUGGCAUCGAUGAAGAACGCAGCGAAAUGCGAUAAGUAAUGUGAAUUGCAGAAUUCAGUGAAUCAUCGAAUCUUUGAACGCACAUUGCGCCCAUUAGUAUUCUAGUGGGCAUGCCUGUUCGAGCGUCAUUUCAACCCUUAAGCCCCUGUUGCUUAGCGUUGGGAGCCUACAGCCUGCUGUAGCUCCUUAAAGGUAGUGGCGGAGUCGGUUCACACUCUAGACGUAGUAAAAUCUUUAUCUCGCCUAUGGAUGAGCCGGCGCCUUGCCGUAAAACCCCUAAUCUUUCACAAGGUUGACCUCGGAUCAGGUAGGAAUACCCGCUGAACUUAAGCAUAUCAAUAAGCGGAGGAAAAGAAACCAACAGGGAUUGCCCUAGUAACGGCGAGUGAAGCGGCAACAGCUCAAAUUUGAAAUCUGGCCUUCGGGUCCGAGUUGUAAUUUGCAGAGGAUGCUUUGGGCGCGGUGCCUUCCGAGUUCCCUGGAACGGGACGCCUUAGAGGGUGAGAGCCCCGUACGGUUGGACACCAAGCCUCUGUAAAGCUCCUUCGACGAGUCGAGUAGUUUGGGAAUGCUGCUCUAAAUGGGAGGUAAAUUUCUUCUAAAGCUAAAUAUUGGCCAGAGACCGAUAGCGCACAAGUAGAGUGAUCGAAAGAUGAAAAGCACUUUGAAAAGAGGGUUAAAUAGCACGUGAAAUUGUUGAAAGGGAAGCGUUUGCGACCAGACCUUUUCCCAGCGGAUCAUCCGGUGUUCUCACCGGUGCACUUCGCUGGGUUGAGGCCAGCAUCGGUUUCCGCAGGGGGAUAAAAGCCUGGGGAACGUAGCUCCCUCGGGAGUGUUAUAGCCCCUCGCAUAAUACCCUUGCGGGGACCGAGGACCGCGCU